rnacentral:rRNA from 1 species
UGGGGAAUAUUGGACAAUGGGCGAAAGCCUGAUCCAGCCAUGCCGCGUGUGUGAAGAAGGUCUUCGGAUUGUAAAGCACUUUAAGUUGGGAGGAAGGGCAGUAAGCGAAUACCUUGCUGUUUUGACGUUACCGACAGAAUAAGCACCGGCUAACUCUGUGCCAGCAGCCGCGGUAAUACAGAUGGUGCAAGCGUUAAUCGGAAUUACUGGGCGUAAAGCGCGCGUAUGUGGUUCGUUAAGUUGAAUGUGAAAGCCCCGGGCUCAACCUGGGAACUGCAUCCAAAACUGGCGAGCUAGAGUAGGGCAGAGGGUGGUGGAAUUUCCUGUGUAGCGGUGAAAUGCGUAGAUAUAGGAAGGAACACCAGUGGCGAAGGCGACCACCUGGGCUCAUACUGACACUGAGGUGCGAAAGCGUGGGGAGCAAACAGG